rnacentral:ncRNA from 1 species
AUGAAGUGUUCCGACUUAAUUUUACUAUGGAAGGGUGAUUUACAUGCAAAUUUUAGGGGAUGAAAAAAUUUUUUAAAUAGGGAUUUGUUUAUUUAGUCGCAGUAGAGAGAGUUAUGUAUUUAGUGACCUAAGAGAUAGCAAAUUUGAUAAUAUAAACAAAGUUUGUGCCAGCAGUUGCGGUUAUACUUACUAUGUAAUAGUAAAUUUUUUAGUUUCAAAUGUAUUUUAUUAGAGUUUGAGGUUUAUUUUAUUAGGUGAAAUUUUAAGGUUUUUUAGGCUUGUAUAGAUAGUUUAAUUUGAGAAAGUUUUGUUAUAAACUAGGAUUAGAUACCCUAUUAUAAGAAAGGUGGAUUUAUAUACUAAAUUAGUAGUAGUUAUGUUCUUGAAAGUUAAGGGAAUUGGCGGUUUUUUAGUCUAUUUAGAGGAACUUGUCCUGUGAUUGAUAGUCCACGAUAAGAGUUACUUAUUCUUUAAAUUUGCAUAUCGCCGUAGGUUGAAUAUUUUUUAAGAAAUAAAAAUAUUCAGGAUUUUAAUUGAAAGGAUAUCAGGUCAAGGUGUAGUUUAUGGGUAAGGAGAGAUGAGUUACAAUAAAUUUAUUUAUAUGAAUAUAAAAUUAAAAUAUUUUUUUGAAGGUGGAUUUAAGGGUAAUUUUUAAUAUUUUUUAAAGGUGAUUUUGGCUCUAAAAUUUGCACAUAUCGCCCGUCGCUUUCACUUUAAGGUGAGAUAAGUCGUAACAUAGUAGAUGUACCGGAAGGUGCCUCUAGAAAGAC